AUUGAACGCUGGCGGCAUGCCUAACACAUGCAAGUCGAACGGCAGCACAGGUGUAGCUUGCUACACUGGGUGGCGAGUGGCGGACGGGUGAGUAACGCGUGGGUAUAUAUCCUAAAGACGGGGACAACUUGCGGAAACGCGAGCUAAUACCGGAUACGCUCUGAGGAGGAAAGCUGGGGAUCUGGCGACAGACCUGGCGCUUUAGGGGUAACCUGCGUCCGAUUAGCUAGUUGGUAGGGUAAAGGCCUACCAAGGCGACGAUUGGUAGCUGGUCUGAGAGGACGAACAGCCACACUGGGACUGAGACACGGCCCAGACUCCUACGGGAGGCAGCAGUGGGGAAUAUUGGACAAUGGGGGCAACCCUGAUCCAGCAAUGCCGCGUGUGUGAAGAAGGCCUGCGGGUUGUAAAGCACUUUAGUUAGGGAGGAGGGCAUGCAGGUUAAGAGCUAGUAUGCUGGACGAUACCUAAAGAAUAAGCACCGGCUAACUCCGUGCCAGCCGCCGCGGUAA
rnacentral:rRNA from 1 species